rnacentral:ribozyme from 1 species
GCUUCUGUGCCCGCUGCGGCCACCGUUCUCCAGGAUGCCGGCUUUCAGACUGUGUGGCUUCUCUUUCUGGUCUCCAA